UCCGUAGGGUGCAAGCGUUAAUCGGAAUUACUGGGCGUAAAGCGUGCGCAGGCGGUUUUGUAAGUCUGAUGUGAAAUCCCCGGGCUCAACAUGGGAAUUGCACUGGAGACUGCAAGGCUAGAAUCUGGCAGAGGGGGGUAGAAUUCCACGUGUAGCAGUGAAAUGCGUAGAGAUGUGGAGGAACACCGAUGGCGAAGGCAGCCCCCUGGGUCAAGAUUGACGCUCAUGCACGAAAGCGUGGGGAGCAAACAGG
rnacentral:rRNA from 1 species